rnacentral:lncRNA from 1 species
CACUGAGUCCCACGGUGGGAGGCUGUAAGAUCUCCUCUCUCCAUUUCCUAGUCUCUGUAAACCUUUUACCCUUCAGGGUGUGGGGAGGAACCUUUAAGUAUAAAAGGGUCCCUGUGGCCCCGCCCUCCCCAGAGGCUGUGGCUGCCUCCAGGGGUGGGGGUUUCUGGCACUUUAGGGGCCUUAACUGCCUCCCACUGCUCUGUCUUUACUCUGCAUCUCCCGACACCCAGGCCUUCAUCUUGGGUGUGAGGCGGGUGGCACACAGCGGGGUGCGGUACCCAUGGGGCAGCCAGGAGCUGACUCAGCAUCUUCACCUUCCCGCUCACGUGACGCCUCCUCCUGCCACCGCUGGAGACUCUUUACAAACCUUGCGCCCUUCCUCCAUCACCGCAAUUGUCUAUCUAUGGUCAGCACCCCCACAUCACAGGUAAAGAGGCGGAGGUGCGGAGAGAUCCUGCAGCUGCCCAGAGCCACACAAACUAAGCUCACAGUGAGUGAAACACAGCAAUGGCUCCAGUGUCCUGCGAUGAUGUAAAAGCAGCAUUUUUCCAUCAGGCUAGGAACCAGCAAUGCAGAACGCCCAGGAUUCCUUUGCUGAACUCCACUGCUGCCCCGACCCAACCUCACUCCUUGGGUGCUCCCCCACCCAGUGCCCGGACUCCUGGCUCCUUUCUCAAGAAGAUUCUCAGCCCUUGGCUUACAUAUUCAGGAACUCUUGGGAGGAAGUCCAUUUAUUUAUGCUGUUUCAUGCUAAAAUGUGAAUGGCUAACAUACCAGAACUAUUUGCUUUUAUUUUUUUUUAUUUUUAUUUUUUUGAGACGGAGUCUCGCUCUUGUCGCCAGGCUGGAGUGCAAUGGCACGAUCUCAGCUCACUGCAAUCUCCGCUCCCAGGGUUCAAGCCAUCUUCCUGCCUUGGCCUCCCGAGUAGCUGGGAUAAUAGGUGCCCACCACCACGCCCGGCUAAUUUUUGUAUUUUUAGUAGAGACAGGUUUUUGCCAUGUUGGCCAGGCUGGUCUUCAACUCCUGACCUUAGGUGAUCCACCUACCUUGACCUCCCGAAGUGCUGGGAUUACAGGUGUGAGCUACCUCACCCGUCCUAUUUGCAUUUUAAGAAAGGACAUUGUUAACUUACACCAUGUUUUCUUUUUUUUUUGAGACGGAGUCUUGCACCGUCGCCCUGGCUGUGCAGUGGCGCGAUCUCGGCUCACUGCAACUUCCGCCUUCUGGGUUCAAGCGAUUCUUCUGCCUCAGUCUCCCGAGUAGCUGGGAUUACAGGCACCCACCACCAUGCCCAGCUAAUUUAUUGUAUUUUUAGUAGAGAUGGGGUUUCAUUAUGUUGGCCAGGCUGGUCUCGAACUCCUGACCUUGUGAUUCGCCCACCUCAGCCUCCCAAAGUGCUGGGAUUACAGGUGUGAGCCACCGUGACUGGCCUUACACCAUGUUUUCUUAAUGUCAGCAUGACUGGCAUUGGGGCUGGAUGACGCUGUGCUCUGUGGGGGCUGCCCUGUGCCCUGCAGGGUGCUUGGUGCCCCCCCACCCCCCUGGCCUCCACCCACUGGAUGCCAUACCAUCUGCCCCUCUGCUGUGACGACCAAAACUGUCUCCAGACUCUCUAGAUGCUCCCUUGGGAACAAAACCCCUGGGUGAGAGCAAUUGACCUAAAUGGAUUUCAUCUCUGUAGGUGGGAUGCCAGGAAGUGUGAUUAAGCAAAAGGCUGGUCUCCAGGAUGGGGCCAGCUCGUCCGAGCCGCAGGGAUGGACACAUCAUGCUCUCUUCAAUUCAACCAGUGGGAGGAUCUGUGAGAAACCAGGGAAGAGGGGCGUGUCCGAGCCAGGAACUGGACUCACCUGGGCAACUUCCCGCACGAGACCAGGGAAGAGGGGCGUGUCCGAGCCGGGAACUGGACUCACCUGGGCGACUUCCCGUGCGAGACCAGGGAAGAGGGGCGUGUCCGAGCCGGGAACUGGACUCACCUGGGCGACUUCCCGUGCGAGACCAGGGAAGAGGGGCGUGUCCGAGCCGGGAACUGGACUCACCUGGGCACCUUCCCGAGAGAGACCAGGGAAGAGGGGCGUGUCCGAGCCGGGAACUGGACUCACCUGGGCACCUUCCUGUGUGAGACCAGGGAAGAGGGGCGUGUCCAAGCCGGGAAAUUGACUCACCUGGGCACCUUCCUGCCCUCCUCCUGACGCCCUCUCAGAAUAAGGCUCUCGCUGUCUCGCUCCCAUCCCCACCCUCCCGUGGGGUGGGGGCUGACUCUCUCCACUUGUCUGGGUAGCAUGAGGUUCUGUCUCACUUGGGCAACUACAACAGAGUAACUUUGACUUGGUGCCUUAAACAACAGAAAUUUAUUUCUCACAGUUCUGGAAGCCAGAGGUCAAGAUCAAGGAGCGGGCAGACUCGGUUCUGUGAGGGCCGGCUUCCUGGCUUGCAGACGAUGCCUUCCCAUGUCCCCACAUGGCACGAAGCAGAGAAGGGAACCCAGCGCCCGUGUCUCUUCCCCUGAGGGUGCUGGUCCUCUUCCGAGGGCUCCACCCUCCUGACCCAGUCACCCCCAAAGGCCCCCUCUCCUAACACCAUCACACUGGAGUGAGGGUUUCAGCAUGUGGAUUCUGGGGACACAUCCAGUCCACGCAGGCCUGAGUGGCCGCCUGGUCUGCUGAAAGCCACUCAGCUCGGGCAGGCCCAUGGCGGCUGCCUGCGGGCCAUACUCUCUGCAGCCCACACCAGCGCCGCCCUCUGCAGGGGCUGAGGCAGAUGCUGCUGGGUGCCGAGGGUGGCGCCUUCGUGUUUGCCGGAGGGUGUGGGGCAGCGGGCCGCCCUGGGAGCCUUGGGACUCGCCGGACUUCAGCUCUGUGCAGCCUCUGGUGUGCAGCUUGGAGAACCCAGCCUUUCUGAACCAUCCACCUGGUGUGGCGCUAGAUGACCUUGUCCUGGAUGUGGGGUGGGGAGGGCUGUGACAGUCCAUGGGCCUUGCCAAGGCUGGAUGGCCCCGCCCAAAGCCUACUGGACAUCUGGCCAAGCAAGGCCCUGGUGAGCGUGGGCAGGACGUUGGUGGGUGGGCAGCCAGGGCACAGAUGCAGCCUGCAUGGGCAGGACGUCUGGCCGCUCCGCUAGUCCUGAGCUCCAGCUGCCCAUGUCCUCUUGGGGUCUCCCCGGCAGCCCUGAGCCACACAAGCCCCAGGCCUGUGACUGAGGCCACAUCUGGCUGGGGGCUCCAGCGACGUCCAGCCCCAGGUCAAAGUGGCCAUCUGUCAUCUGACAGGUUGACAUGCACCUUCCUUGGGCUAGGUGGGGCUGUGAGUGUCUGUGCCCACCCCUCCCCCCACACCUUGUGCGCUCUGUGCAGUGGGGCAGCAGCGCCAGGCAAAACAGUUUCCCAUCGGGAUGAGGACCAGCUCCAGAGAAGGUGGGGAGGGGACCCCGCGCCAGGGCCUCCCUGAGAAGAAGCAGUGUCUGCCAUCCUGGUGAGCAGAGGAGACAGCAAAUGCAAGAGCUCCUUGCCUGCUCAGGGAUGUCGGGGUGGCCGUGUGCCCAGGAAGGGAGGACGGGGGCAGAGGGGUCGGUGGUCUUGGAGCGUGUGGCAGGGCCAGGUCUCAGGAGCGAGGAGGCCUUGAUGAGGAAAGCAUUUGGGUAGCGUCGAGGUGCCAGGGAGUCUGGAUGUGUAGAUCCACGGUGGGGCCUGGUCUCUCCCACGAGUGAGCGUGGCGCCUGCGUUCCUCACGAUAUAUCUGCCACAGAACGGGGACGAUUGCCACAGCUUCUCCAUUUGCCUGAAGGCAUAGGAGGGGGCGUGUGGGAGGCCACCUGUGACACCUGUGGACCAGAGAUGACAACAUAUGGGGUUUGGGGAUGCCACGGCACAGCAUCAAGCAGAGAGUUCCCUCGAGGUCCCAGAGCUACAGGUGGAUUUCUGCCCUUUCCGGAUGCCUCCGGAGCCACCGUAGCUCCCCAGCCGUCACAGCUGACCACGGGCUCCUCAAUUGACGGUAUUAUUGGUGGCUGGGAAGUACAAGUCAACUCCCUCAUGCAAUUAGCCGGCUUGCCAGGGGCUAGGGAAGCUUAUUGAGAGCCUUGGUCCUUUAGAAAAAACUGUAAAUUAAAUUUUUAUUGACUUUAGUGUAAGAUGUUAAAAAAAAUCAAUGCUUUCAUAUCUUAAAUCUUUUCCUCACUCCCCUGCUCCCCCGCAAGCGGAUAAAUACAGCCUUUCCUCCUCCUAAUAAUGUAAAAUUCCUUUGGGGGGGCUGGGCCUCCCUGUCUGGGGAGGCACUUCCUGUCGCCCAAAUUACAGGGUUAAACCCGCAGCAGCUCUGGCCCAGGUGAGAUGACUGAGAACCUGUCUCUCCUCAUCUCAUUUCCCCAAAUUAAAUGUUGUUCCUCCUCCAGGCCUCUGUGGGGUCGUCUGUUUUUCUGAAGGUGCAGUGACGGGGAAGCAGCUCCCUCCGUUUCCACCGGGAGGCACGGGCCCAGGUGAGAUGACUGAGAACCUGUCUCUCCUCAUCUCCUCAUUUCCCCAGAUUAAAUCUUGUUCCUCCAGGCCUCUGUGGGGUCGUCUGUUUUUCUGAAGGCGCAGUGACGGGGAAGCAGCUCCCUCCAUUUCCACUGGGAGGC